rnacentral:piRNA from 1 species
UAAAAGUGCUUGCUGCCAAGUUUGACAGACCC